CCAAAAUUUUCAACUCGUGUUCGGUCUGGCACUUUGCUGGGCCUGUGUAAAUCUGUCAGGAAAAUACGGUGGCGAGAGACAUGCGUUUAUCAGUAAUAUUAUGAUAGGGAAUAAAUUCCACGAGACAGUUCGAAUAUCAUGAAUCAAUAAAUCGACAUACACGGUGACCUUCAUCGCUCUGCUAAUCAUCAACAAACCGGUCAGCGCGAGUUUUGUCCUGCUUUGCAAGAUUUAAACCCACGCUUCUUCUAUACUUAAUUAAACUCGCGUGCAAGAAAGUGGAAAUGUUUGAUCACUAGGGCUGCAAAAAACCCGUAGGCCAGCUGCGAGGCCAAAUUGAAGAAACAUCAUGAAAUAGCCAGAAAAACAAACCAUUCAGCUACAGGUAUAGGGACGAUUGUUGAAAAGAGGCUUGUUUACGCUUCGCUUUCGAUGUAAACAAUCGUUAUGGCAUACGGCAUACAUUAGUAACGGGCUGCAUGUGUGCGUCGCAUGCGCUUUCACACACGUGUACCCAACCCACCCAAAUCACUGCAGGUACAAACAACGCAUACAUGCACACGCUCGCAAAUUGUAUCAUAUUGUUUAUUAUGUGGCGGGUAGCGAAUGUCAAUGCGAAUGCACGAAAUAAUCGGUGCACGGGUGCUGUCGGUCGAUUAUUUACACACUGCCACUGUCAGACGGUGGCGUCGCGCACACACCCGGCGCCGGCAACUCGCUGCAAUUCGGCCGUAAAGUCGCAUGUGGAUGCUGCCUCCGAGUGCGAACGCGUGUGGGCGGCGCUCGCUUCACACCGAAAUCGAGUCUCCCCGAGAUUCGCGCCUCACAGAUGCACAACAAAUGCAAAAAUGCACCAACUCACCUAUUUCGCAUGGGGAUUACGGCGUGCACGCACUACAAUCGUAAGAGCGAUUGUCGCCGGUUGUAGGUUGUCCACUGUUAACCAGGUAGCAUCGUUAAUUAUUGUGGAUUUCACGCUUUAUGUUGCACUAUUCUGGAGCAUAACGUCUUAGUACCGCCAUGUUGAAACGGCAACUGACAGCCGAACACGGACGAGCGCUGCGCGAAUGUAUGCAACUUAUCUUACACUCAUAAACACAUUUCAAUUGCUGACUAGUUUUACUUGAAAUAUGUCACAAUUGUACGAAUAAUAAACUAUUCGCAAUAUUUUUUAAUAAAUUAUAUUUUUAUCAAUGGUCA